CUGGCUCAGGACGAACGCUGGCGGCGUGCUUAACACAUGCAAGUCGAACGAUGAAGCCUAGCUUGCUAGGUGGAUUAGUGGCGAACGGGUGAGUAAUACGUGAGUAACCUACCUUUAACUCUGGGAUAAGCCUGGGAAACUGGGUCUAAUACCGGAUACGACCAAUCUCCGCAUGGGGUGUUGGUGGAAAGCGUUAUGUAGUGGUUAUAGAUGGGCUCACGGCCUAUCAGCUUGUUGGUGAGGUAACGGCUCACCAAGGCGACGACGGGUAGCCGGCCUGAGAGGGUGACCGGCCACACUGGGACUGAGACACGGCCCAGACUCCUACGGGAGGCAGCAGUGGGGAAUAUUGCACAAUGGGCGCAAGCCUGAUGCAGCGACGCCGCGUGAGGGAUGACGGCCUUCGGGUUGUAAACCUCUGUUAGCAGGGAAGAAGAGAGAUUGACGGUACCUGCAGAGAAAGCGCCGGCUAACUACGUGCCAGCAGCCGCGGUAAUACGUAGGGCGCGAGCGUUGUCCGGAAUUAUUGGGCGUAAAGAGCUUGUAGGCGGUUUGUCGCGUCUGCUGUGAAAGGCCGGGGCUUAACUCCGUGUAUUGCAGUGGGUACGGGCAGACUAGAGUGCAGUAGGGGAGACUGGAACUCCUGGUGUAGCGGUGGAAUGCGCAGAUAUCAGGAAGAACACCGAUGGCGAAGGCAGGUCUCUGGGCUGUAACUGACGCUGAGAAGCGAAAGCAUGGGGAGCGAACAGGAUUAGAUACCCUGGUAGUCCAUGCCGUAAACGUUGGGCACUAGGUGUGGGGGACAUUCCACGUUUUCCGCGCCGUAGCUAACGCAUUAAGUGCCCCGCCUGGGGAGUACGGCCGCA
rnacentral:rRNA from 1 species